UUUAUUACCAUCCUGAGGUUUCGAAAACGUUGAGAUUCGUAGAAAUUGGAAGCAGUGAUUUUCCGCCGAAAUCUAUACUUUUCUUAUGCUAACAAAGAUUAUGAAAAGUAAAAAUACAUUGAAAUAAGUAAACGUUGGCUGACUGGAUAAAAAUUGAGUAGAGGGGAGUUUGAUAUAUGUAUGUGCAUACUUAUGGGAGCGAGGGGUGGAGGGCGAGAUAUGAAGCCUGUACGCCUGUCGGUAUAAAGCCUUCGCAUUCUGAACGCGUUUUGCCAUUUCGCUUCGUCUUUCCCGACACAUCUUACCUACUUUGCAAGUUUACGUCCCUUGCCGAACGCGAAGCAAAGAUUAUCUCGAAUAAAAAAAAAACACGCACAAUGGCUAUAUCGAUGAGGAAAAUUUUGAUGUCUCUUUUCGUCGUUGCUGUUAUACUGGCAUUCAUUGGAACGGCAGACGCGUGUAUUCGUAACCGUGACGGGUGUCAACCUGAUGGAAGUCAGGGCAAUUGCUGCAGUGGCUAUUGCCACAAGGAGCCAGGCUGGGUAGCUGGCUACUGCCGCAGCCGCUAAUUGUUUUUAUUCGUGUUUGCUAGUUUCAACACUGUGAAAAUUAUUCGUUGUAUUCGAUCAAGAAAUGUAGGUGUGAAAUAAAGUUUGUGAUUUAAA
rnacentral:lncRNA from 1 species